ensembl:lncRNA
CAGUGGCGGAGUUUGCGCUCUCCAGUCGCAUGAUAGUCUCACAAAUUCAUACACUGAUGAAUGCAAUGGAGAGCGACUUGAAGUGUAGUAUCUUGCCUAAAAUCACGUAGGCAUGCAGACUGGACACUGGAGCAGCCAGGGAUCCAACCACCAAUCUCCUGGUUGGUAGAUGACCUGCUCUGCCCCCUGAGCUACAGCCAUCCCAAAAUAAAGAAAUAAGUGGUGGCUCAAGACUUUUCCACAGCAUUGUAUUGAACCACAGGGGUCCACAGUGGAGAUGGGCAAAAGAGCCACAGGUUCAAGACCCCUGAGGCAGACAAUCAUUUGCACCACCACACCUUCCCAACAUUUGAACGUAGUGUCCAAUAUUGCCACAGCAUGUGUAUGGCAGCACCAAAGCAGCUCCGAGAUGCCAGUGACUGUGGCAAACCAGCAUAUCUGACAACCUGGGAGAGAGAACAGCUGGCUUUUAGUGGAGAAGACGAGGCUUAAAGAGGCACGGACUAAAAAGGCUUUUUUCAGACAGAUGAUGAACCGAGGGGCUUUUUUGCCAUGAAUAAAAUUACAAAGCUCUUGUGGAGUCCUGGAAUAUAAAUAAAGGGCAGAAUUGAGCAUAAUGAGCCCCCCCUUAAGUUAACAACUGCUGCUAGGUUUUUUUUUUGGUACCUACUGAUUUCCUCUUGCAUUUUAUGUAGAUUGUGUAGAAGUGCCUUGCAAUUCUAGGCAAAAAGCUUUCAGGGAAUCAUUUCUGUGACCCGAAAUGCACAAAAAAUGAACAUAGUCAAAUUUUACAUUAGAAAGUUUAAAGUCUUGCCUGAAAAACUUCACUUUAGUAUUGCAUCACUGCUUUCAUUUGCAAUGACUUUCAGGGGGUAAAGCCAAUCAUCCUGCUGCAGCAGAAAUAAGAGUCAUACUUGACGUGUUUCUGGAGCCUGUUUUAAAUGUACAGUACUUAGAGCUGGGCGAUAGAACGAUAACGAUAUGUAUUGCGAAAUAACUUUUUCUUGAUAGAAAAAUUAAACUAUUGCGAUAGACCUCAUCUCUCUUGUCCUCUUAAAAAAAAAAAAAAGAACAGCCAAUCCAAAUUAAGUAGCGGAGAGCCGAACCAAUCACAGCCGCAGCGUCACAUAACGUGACUUGUUACAUACAGCACAAGCGCCAAGGCGCACAUGUGUAUUUGUUUUUGCAGCCGUGCAGCCCGGGUAAUGAAGGAAAUGAGUUUGCCGACUAGAGAAAAAUCAACCGAGAGCGUGAGCGAAGGUUACCGAAGAAAAAACAGAUGAUGGUUCCAAUGCCGGAGAGCUUGUCGAACAGAAGGGCCACAGAAGUUCCGUAGUGUGAAGGUAUUUCAGCUAUUUCAAGUCUGACAAAAAACAGAGUAGUGCGCACUGUAAAUUGUGCCGAAAGCAAGUCUGGAAAUACAAUAAAGCGGUGCAUGCUCAAUCUCUGACUGAAAGCGCUAAUUCGUCAUUCG